rnacentral:misc_RNA from 1 species
GUGAAUCAUCAAAUUUUUGAACGCAAAUUGCACUCUCUUCGGAGAGUAUGCCUGUUUGAGGGUCAGCCUAUAAAAAAUCGACGUCGUUGCUGUUUCGCGGUGACAUUCGUCGGAAAUUGGGUCAUCUUAAACCUUUGGGUUUUUUAAGCGGCUUAAAAUUUUCUUUACGAUUAUAAGCAUUUUUCUAAGCUAUUACUUCUUACAUAUGU